UGAGAGGGAGAGAGAGAGAGAGAGAGAGAGAAAAGAGGAGUUUGAGCUCCAAUUAAGAGGAUUGCUAGAGAACCUGGAGUUUUUGGCUUGGAACUUCAAACAAUUGAUCAUUUAGAGCAUCAUUGAUCAUCUAAGGUGAUCAGGUGUGUAGCCAGGCUCAGCGAUGAUCGCCUGGAUUUCCUUCCUGUCAGCCACCCUUUGUGCCUCCUGAGGAGGUUCUAAUUUAUGAAAAGUUGAGGGGUCAUGUUUUGUGAACUAAGUUUAAAAUUUUAUUUUCUUUUUGUGAAUCUUGAACAAGUUUCGGACUACCAGUAUUUCGAGCUAGUCCCACAUUUGUUUUAUUUGUAUCAGUGGGUAAUGUAAGACUACUAUAAUUAUAACAUCACGUGUAUGUAUAUAUGGUUCUAAAUUAUCUGUCUCUGUUC